rnacentral:rRNA from 1 species
UACGGAGGGGGCGAGCGUUGUCCGAAGUUACUGGGCGUAAAGCGCGUGUAGGCGGGUUGCCAAGUCCGCUGUGAAAGCCCGAGGCUCAACCUCGGAGGGUCGGUGGAUACUGGCAAUCUUGAAGGUGCUAGGGGGAGAUGGAAUUACCGGUGUAGCGGUGAAAUGCGUAGAGAUCGGUAGGAACACCAGUGGCGAAGGCGGUCUCCUGGGGCAUUCUUGACGCUGAGACGCGAAAGCUGGGGGAGCGAACGGG